rnacentral:lncRNA from 1 species
UGAUGUUAUUUAUCAUGGGUUUUGCUGCAAUGCUUCCCAAAUUCUAUAAGUUUUUUCAUCCUUGAAAUACUUGCCGUUAGUUUCCAAAUAAACAAUGUAGAUUGCUUGCUAAAUCACUAUUGAUAAUCAAUUUUGAGUGAUAGAAUUAGCGGCAAGUACUGAAAUUAUGAAUGAGUUGAAAGGCAGGUAUAUUAGCAUGCCAAUUACUAAUUGCAAACCUAGUUUUGUUUAUUUAAUACUAUUGCCACUAUUUCCAUCUCAUUCCAAACAAGCUAGGAAACUCAAGGUUCUCAAAAAGCUCGGUUGAUCUAGGUAAAUGACGACCUACCAAGUUUGAUCAAAUGAGGUUUGGAUGCGUGUAGAAAUGUACCACCGACAUUAAGCUAGCAGGUAAAGUACGGAUUGGACGGAAGAUAGAGAGUAGUGUGGAUUUAAGUGCUUUA